AUUGAACGCUGGCGGCAGGCCUAACACAUGCAAGUCGAACGGUAACAGGAAGAAGCUUGCUUCUUUGCUGACGAGUGGCGGACGGGUGAGUAAUGUCUGGGAAACUGCCUGAUGGAGGGGGAUAACUACUGGAAACGGUAGCUAAUACCACAUAACGUCGCAAGACCAAAGAGGGGGACCUUCGGGCCUCUUGCCAUCGGAUGUGCCCAGAUGGGAUUAGCUAGUAGGUGGGGUAACGGCUCACCUAGGCGACGAUCCCUAGCUGGUCUGAGAGGAUGACCAGCCACACUGGAACUGAGACACGGUCCAGACUCCUACGGGAGGCAGCAGUGGGGAAUAUUGCACAAUGGGCGCAAGCCUGAUGCAGCCAUGCCGCGUGUAUGAAGAAGGCCUUCGGGUUGUAAAGUACUUUCAGCGGGGAGGAAGGGAGUAAAGUUAAUACCUUUGCUCAUUGACGUUACCCGCAGAAGAAGCACCGGCUAACUCCGUG
rnacentral:rRNA from 1 species